rnacentral:rRNA from 1 species
GUUGGCUUAGAAGCAGCCAUACAUUUAAAGAGUGCGUAAUAGCUCACUGGUCGAGCGGUCCUGCGCCGAAAAUGUCCGGGGCUAAAACCUGACACCGAAGCCAUGGGUUCUGCGUAAAGCAGAGCGGUAGGGGAGCAUCGUAUACGGGCCGAAGCCCGACCGGAAGGCAGGGUGGACUGUAUACGAGGGAGAAUGCCGGCAUGAGUAGCGAGAGGGUGGUGAGAAUCCACCCCGUCGAAAGCCUAAGGAUUCCUGAGGAAGGUUCGUCCGCUCAGGGUAAGUCGGGACCUAAGCUGAGGGCGAAAGCCGUAGGCGAUGGGCAAUCGGUUGAAAAUCCGAUACCACCUGAUACCGACUGAGAGAGGCAGUGACACAGGAGGGCAGGCAGAGCGAGCUGAUGGUAGAGCUCGUCCAAGCGGCGAGGCAGGCAGGUGAGUGAAGUACCACCUGCCGGUAAUGCUGAGCCGUGACGGGGACCGAAGUUAAAGUAGGGAAGCUGCCGGGCUCACACUGGCGAGAAAAGCUGCUAUCGAGGUAUCAGGUGCCCGUACCGCAAACCGACACAGGUAGGCGAGGAGAGGAUCCUAAGACGAGCGGGGAAACCCUUGUCAAGGAACUCGGCAAAUUGACCCCGUAACUUAGGGAGAAGGGGUGCCUGCGAGAGCAGGUCGCAGAGAACAGGCCCAAGCGACUGUUUAACAAAAACACAGGUCUCUGCUAACUCGAGAGAGGAAGUAUAGGGGCUGACGCCUGCCCAGUGCUGGAAGGUUAAGGGGAAGUGUUAGCGAAAGCGAAGCACAGAACCGAAGCCCCAGUGAACGGCGGCCGUAACUAUAACGGUCCUAAGGUAGCGAAAUUCCUUGUCGGGUAAGUUCCGACCCGCACGAAAGGCGUAACGAUUUGGGCGCUGUCUCGACGGUGGACUCGGUGAAAUCAUAGUACCUGUGAAGAUGCAGGUUACCCGCGACAGGACGGAAAGACCCCGUGGAGCUUUACUGCAGCUUGAUAUUGGACUUUGGUGCAGCAUGUACAGGAUAGGUAGGAGACUAAGAAUCUGGGACGCCAGUUUCAGAGGAGUCGACGUUGGGAUACUACCCUUGUUGUACUGAGGUUCUAACUAGCGUUUAAGAAACGAGACGUAGGACAGUGUCAGGUGGGCAGUUUGACUGGGGCGGUCGCCUCCUAAAGAGUAACGGAGGCGC